ACUCGCAGUCCGCAGGAUGACUCAGGGCAGCCCUGACCACAGUUCCGCCGCCAUCGGCCCUAGCCUGCGGAAUUGGGCUCGCCCCGGGACGAUAACAGAGCUCUGCCGGGGGCUGGAGGCACUGACCGGGUGACCAGAGACCCAGAGACCAGACCCCCUCCACGGCGCCCGGGAUUUCGGGGACGGCUUCUCCCAUCGCAAGUUUCAACAGAAAAUGAGAAAUAUCCCCCGACGAUUGGCUGAAAACAUGCAGCAACCACUAUUUUCUUCCUGCCCCUCGUUGAUGAGAGCAUUCGAAGUGACCUCAGCAGGGCAUCCAGUUUCGCUCUUGUGGCCCAGGCUGGAGUGCGGUGGUGUGACCUCGGCUCACUGCAUCCUCCGCCUCCCGGGUUCAAGUGAUGGGAUUACAGGUGCCUGCCACAACGCCCAGCUAAUUGUUUGUAUUUUUAGUAGAGACGAGGUUUCACCAUGUUGGCCAGGCUGGUCUCGAACUCCUGACCUCAGGUGAUCCACCUGCCUUGGCCUCCCAAAGUGCUGGGAUUACAGGUAUGAGCUACCGCGCCCGGCACAAAGCAUUUUCAGCUGUGAAAUUCCCUGGGGUGCUGCAGUAGAGGAAGGUUUGGGGUCUUGACGGGUGCUAUUUGCCACGGAAAGAUGCCUUCCUGCUCCCAGGGCAGGAGAGCCGAGGUAAGACUUACUGUAGGCUGUCGUUUUUUUUGUUUGUUUUUUGUCUUUGCGAUGGAGUCUCACUCUGUCGCCAGGCUGGAGUGCAGUGGCAUGAUCUUGGCUCACUGCAGAACCUCCACCUCCCAGGUUCAAGCGAUUCUCCUGCCUCAGCCUCCCAAGUAACUGGGAUUACAGGCACAUGCCCCCACAACCAGCUAAUUUUUUAUUUUUAGUAGAGACAGGGUUUCACAUGUUGGCCAGGCUGGUCUUGAACUCCUGACCUCAGGUGAUCCGCCCGCCUCGGCCUCCCAAAGUGCUGGGAUUACAGACAUGAGCCACUGCGCCCAGCCAGGCUGUUGUUUUUUUACCUCCUUGUUUGCACAAUUUGGGCCACUCACAAGAGUGUAUACCCUGUGAUAAACAGUUACCUACAUUCUCCUCUGCAUGCUUGUCUUUAGAGGAAGGAAAUGUAUUAAUUGCCCAAAGUAAUAUAUUGUGUUAAGAUGUGAUAUAUACUGGGGAAAAAAAAAGUGUAUAUUGACAUUUCUGGAAUAAACCACUUUGAUUC
rnacentral:lncRNA from 10 species